rnacentral:tRNA from 1 species
CGGAAAAGUGUCCAGGAAUGGGAAACGAACCCACAGUGUUCCGCUUACCGGGCAGAUGCCAUGUCCACUAGGCUACUUAUUUUUCC